UAAAACAAGAGUUAAUAAAAGCGUUUGCAAAAGCUCUACUACAUUCUACAAUCACCAUCGAAGCGAACAACACACCGGAAAGCGUGCGCACGGAGCUAACCGCGUCUUACCUUUCUACUUACAUCAAUCCUAAUAAGAUCAGACUUGAAAUAGCAAAUUUGGAAAAACUGGAUUUCAACGGAAAGUAGCUUUCGUAUUUAACUUUGUUUUUCAGAAAAUACCGGGUGAAAACCGAGAUUGCAGCAAAACGAGGAGGCGCGUGUCUUACCAAAGAGGGGAAGGCAAAGACAUACAAAAUCAAAAGUGGCGUCAGGUACUUACCAUCUCUGAGGAGAGACGUGAGUGGACAUCCUCGCAGAAGAUAUCCCACCAGUAUUGCAGGAAGUUGGCUAGAUGCUGAUAACCGCCAGGGACGUACACUUUACGCGUCUCGGAGUUGAAAUUUUGCAACCACGGUUUGGCCGUUCCAAUAAAGUGUAGGAUCUUCGUGUUUUGUCCGAAUCUAAAACCGGUCCAAUAUUGAUACGAGUACGAGGCCACCGACGAAGUAUUGUACACAAAGGGUAGGUGCUUCGAAAUAUCCUUGGAGGCCCAGUCGGAGAAGUACGAAUUGAGCAGACCCUGAUCGCCCCCAUCGAAACUGCCAUUGGUGACGGCAAAUUGCAGCAAACUGGAGAACGUAUCCAAGCUAGGCCGAUAAACGUACACGCCGGAGUUGAAGCAAUCGGGCCAACCGACGUCCGGUGCAGCGGACAGUUCUUCGCGUUCGAACAGUUCGUCACAGUUACGCAGCACAAGCGUAUCAGCGUCAAGAAAAACGCACUUCUCGUACUGCACCAGCCGCCAACAGUGCAACUUUGUGAAGGUAAUUCCCAGCUCGGGGCGCUUCAGCAAAGCCAGGUUAGCCGCGUCCUUGGAGUCCAGCAGAUUGACCUCUUCCACCACGUCGAACACGGCACGAAGCUUGUUUCUAAUGGAAAAAAAUAGAUCUGUUAGGUCUGGACGAUCAAUUUUUCUGUAGGGAGAAGGUUACUCACUUCAUUGCUUCCGAAACGCCGGGCGUUAUCAGGACGGCCAGCUGGUGGGCUGUGUGCACUCGCUUGAGCGAAUGCGCCACCACGAGCGCGCCCAACGAGUAUGAAUCAUUUGUCGCUAACGUCACCCAAGCGAAUUCUGUAACAGGAACGAGAGGAUACCGCAAAGCAAAAACAUUCCGACGUAAUGAAAUGAAAAAUAGUCUACACUGUAGGAAAUAUAUUCCCUAUAAUAUUUGUGCUGAUUCGAAAAAAACGACAACACAACAAAUAUUGUUUAUCUUCUCGUCAGCGGAAAUCUUCGGGACAAACAAAACAUGCACGCGACGAUGUCCUUUCGAGCUCAAUCAGAAAGCAUAUAAAGAUAAUUAAUCGCUUGAUCAUCCGCUAAUAUUAGAACCCGCCCAGUUUGCGCCAUUUACGAUCGUCGUCGUAUAAAUGAGCUCAGAAAUCCACACGGCCCAUCGAACCAUACCUACCACUAAUGACAGACUUUAGCACUGGUCGUAAAUUACGACGCAGGAUUUUCGCUUGGCUGCCAUAGCACCCCGACGACGACGACGACGUCGUAUUUCAAGAUCAAUUCAAGCACGUCACGCGACGAAAUAUGCUCUAAAACAAGUAGACAUCCCGAAAUAGCAACUCGAGAGUAGGAUUGGCCCUUUUUGCUCACCCGAAAAUAGACGACAGAUUUGUGGAAACACACAUUGCGAUGACAGAACUAAUCAAGAAAGCAGGUAAAGAUCACGUUACGAAAUCAAUAAUGUGAAGAAAAACAGACUCACAUGCGAGCUUAUCAUUGGAAUGCAAUUUUGAGCUUCAACUUCAAGGCUAUGUUAUCUUCAGAUUUCAUAUCUGCAGCACAUCGCAAAAUUCUUUCCGUCACAUGAACUGGCCUGACUGCUUUCACCACGCCUGCCGGUAAGAUUACACUAACGAGGGCCUUCCUUAUCGCAGCGCAGAUAAGGAUCGAAUACGAGACUGUACUUUGUAGUAUUGUAAAUAGGCGCCAGCUUAGUGCAUUCUGGUUCCUAUUCGUUUGGUGUUCGGCUGCUGUAAAUCUCUUACUCAUAUUCCAAAAUAGCAAUACAAAUGGCAAAAAU